CCUGUAGCCUAGUUGGUAAAGGCAGAACUCUAGUAUGUGUCUCAGCUUAGCUGAGGUGUGAGUUUGAAUCUCACCAGG
rnacentral:tRNA from 1 species